rnacentral:rRNA from 1 species
GGUAGGGGAGCGUUCUGUAAGCCUGCGAAGGUGUGCUGUGAGGCAUGCUGGAGGUAUCAGAAGUGCGAAUGCUGACAUAAGUAACGAUAAAGCGGGUGAAAAGCCCGCUCGCCGGAAGACCAAGGGUUCCUGUCCAACGUUAAUCGGGGCAGGGUGAGUCGACCCCUAAGGCGAGGCCGAAAGGCGUAGUCGAUGGGAAACAGGUUAAUAUUCCUGUACUUGGUGUUACUGCGAAGGGGGGACGGAGAAGGCUAUGUUGGCCGGGCGACGGUUGUCCCGGUUUAAGCGUGUAGGCUGGUUUUCCAGGCAAAUCCGGAAAACUAAGGCUGAGGCGUGAUGACGAGGCACUACGGUGCUGAAGCAACAAAUGCCCUGCUUCCAGGAAAAGCCUCUAAGCAUCAGGUAACAUCAAAUCGUACCCCAAACCGACACAGGUGGUCAGGUAGAGAAUACCAAGGCGCUUGAGAGAACUCGGGUGAAGGAACUAGGCAAAAUGGUGCCGUAACUUCGGGAGAAGG